rnacentral:pre_miRNA from 1 species
CAGAGGUGUGGAGUGUGACAAUGGUGUUUGUUUCCACUGUUAUCAAACGCCAUUAUCACACUAAAUAGUUAUGG